AAUGAGGUUUUGAGGUGAGUGUUUUACCUCUGUUAAGCUUUUUUAUUUUACUUUGAAUAUAUAAUAUCUGCAUGUGUAUGUACUUUUUGUGUUGUACACGGAUAAAUAUUGAUAGGAGAAGACUUAAGGUAAAGCAAUAUCUUUUGGUACAUUGAUACAGAUUUACAUUUUUUAAUGUAACCCGGAGACCAAAAGAGUUGGAAGGAAGAGCCGAUCCAAGAUCAAGAGACAUUCAGAAGCUCUUGCUUCAAUCGAAAAUUUGGAAGUAUAAGUUGGGAGCAACCAUGCCACUUUCUGUGUUCACAGACUACAUUUCUUGAAUAUAGCCACUAACGCAGCAACUUGAGGGGAGGUGAUAAGAAUAUAUGUUCAAGUUGCAAAGGCAGAAUGAUAAUCAGGCUGAAUUAGGCGAAAGGGCUGAUUUC